rnacentral:tRNA from 1 species
UGCUUUCAUAGCUCAGUUGGUUAGAGCACCCGUUUAGUAAGCGGGAGGUCUUGAGUUCAAACCUCAAUGAAAGCAA